AUACGUAGGGGGCGAGCGUUGUCCGGAAUUACUGGGCGUAAAGGGUGCGUAGGUGGCUAUUUAAGUUGGAUGUGAAAUACCCGGGCUUAACCUGGGGGGUGCAUUCAAAACUGGAUGGCUAGAGUGCAGGAGAGGGAAGCGGAAUUCCUAGUGUAGCGGUGAAAUGCGUAGAUAUUAGGAGGAACACCAGUGGCGAAGGCGGCUUUCUGGACUGUAACUGACACUGAGGCACGAAAGCGUGGGGAGCAAACAGGGUUAGAGACCCUGGUAGUCCACGCCGUAAACGAUGAAUACUUGGUGUAGGGGGUAUGAACUCCCCCUGUGCCGGAGCUAACGCAAUAAGUAUUCCGCCUGGGGAGUACGGCCGCAAGGUUGAA
rnacentral:rRNA from 1 species